ensembl:snoRNA
AUGAUGUGCUCAGAGCAGGAAGCCUGAAGAAAUGACUCCUCUGUUCACAACACACUGAACAGGAAUCUGGAUUCAUUGUGACAAGGGGCACAAAACAUGCGCCCUUCCUGUGAACAAAUACCCUACCUAU